rnacentral:lncRNA from 1 species
UAUUGGGCAGUUGGGAGGAUGCCCGGUUUGUCAGAAUGGAGCGGAGGACAUCAAACAUCUGCUGUUUACCUGUGAUCGAGCACGGGAAGUAUGGCAAGCUCUGGGUGUUAGGGAGAGAUUACAAUAUUAUCUUACCAUUGAUCGUUCAGGCUCAGUGGUGAUUGAUGAAAUAAUUAGAAGAGAAGAGUUGAUCGAUACUCUGAACGUGGGGUUAGCAGAAUUGGUGCUUACUGCGGGCUGGUAUCUUUGGUGGGAGAGAAGACAGAUCGUGCAUGGGGAGGAGGUCCAGCUUCCUGCAAGGUCAGCUAUGUCCAUCGCAGCGCUAACAAAGAAUUAUCAAAAUGCAAUGCAGAAAGGGUCAAAGCUGAGGCAGGGAUGGAAGAAACCCACUAAAGGAAAAGUAAUGGUGAAUGUUGAUGCGGCCUUUGAUGAAGAUGGAGGAAGAGGCAGUGUGGGAUCGAUC